AAUAACUGUGGCUCUCUUGAGGGCAUCAGAGGACUUUCCUGUCUACUUCCAUUUGUAGGCUCACUAACUGUUGACAUUUUCCGAGGCAUCAGAACCACAUCUAUCAGAGUUGGGAAGGGAUCUUUGAGACUGUCUGGUCUAUCCUUUCAUGAGGCCAAGCAUGCUGCCCACCUUCCACAAUAAGAGCCUUGUCUCCAGUGGCUUCUAGUAAGGCAGAAGCAUGGAUGUUCAUGUUGAUGGUCUAUUUGCUUGGCUUCUCAUGGUUGGCCCUUGGGAGUUGAGAAUGGCCAAUGACCCUAUUGCCUGGAACUCUUCUGGUUUUAGUAGUAAAAGUUCCACUUCUGGAAAACUCCUCAAUCUUGGGCAAACCAGAACUAGAAUUUUCACUCUAGUUAGAAUAUUCCAAUGAAGCUGUCUCAUUGGGCGUUUUACAGAUGACCUAACUGAAGCUCAGAGAAAUUCAGUCAUUUCUGCAAUACCACAAGUCUGGUGACAUGAGCAGGAAAGAUUGGAGUCCAUCUCUGUGUGACCUCAAAGCCAGUGCCCCAAUCACCACACUCUCGGUCCUGUUGUCAUGAGUAUGAGACCAAGAGCAUUUAUACUAAUGAUGAGCCUCGUACCCGGGACCUUCCUAAUUAUUGGCGACAGCUUAAAUGAUGUUUCAAUAUGAUGUGCAGCAGAUGGAACCCUGGAGCUGAAAGGACCCCUGUGGGCAUUUAGUCAAUUCUAUUCAUUUCACACCUGAGCUUCAGAGGCGAGGAAGGCAUUACUCAAAGUCACGCAACAGGCUCACUCAUCGUGUGCAGGCAGCCUAGAAUUGAACCCAUGCCGAAUGCAUCUGUGGCUGACAGUUUUCUCCUGCAGUGCUAGGUGGAAAAGGCAACACAAUUUUUCUCCAUCCGGAGGAUGUUAUAGGAAAACUCAACUUGCAAAAGUGUGAUGUGAACCAACAGCAUCAGUGUCACCUGGAAGUAUAAAAUCACACACCCCAUCUCAGAUCUUCUGAAUCAGAAUCUGUAUUUUUACCAAUAUCUUCCGGACUAUCUGUGUGCACUCUGUAGUUGAGAAGCACUGCUCAAAGGGCGGCCAAAGAAGAAUCGGUCUACUAUUAAUAGGCUUUUGACAAAUAGCUUUGCCCUCCCCGUAAUGGGUUUGUAGGAACGGGAUGCGCAAUCUCUGUACAUUCAGUCAAAUCUUCUGGCUGUUUUGGGGCAGCUUGGCUCUGUGGGAGCAUGACAAGAAAAUAAAGACAGAUGAAUGCUGGAUGGGGACAUGUCCAUCUCUGUAGAGUAUGUUUCCUGGAAUUUUGAUUUCUACUUGUGGAUUUCUUCUCCCUACAGACUGGAAAAAAUUUUUGCUAGCCCCAGUUGAUAUCUCCUUUGGGCUGAAACUGUGUUGAACAAGAAUGAAACAAUAAAAGGACAUGCGGUGGCCCCCUGGGAUGCUGUAGAAUCAAAUUUGACCAGAGUUGGGAGACAUCACUUCAAAUGUCUUCUCCCAUUAGAGUCCCAUUCCUCUUUCGGUGUCAUCAUCCUUUCAUGAGGACACGGUUGGGUGACGAUGGAUUUCCGCAUUGCUUCCAGACUGGAUUUUACAACUCGCUUAAGGAUUGUUGACUUCUUGGCCAAAGCUCCUUAUUUCCCUUCCUUUCUGCCAAGAGACCAAAGCUUUCUGCUUUCCUAUAAUCUCCUACAUAUGAAUUUUUUGUUCUUGAUGGAGUUACUAAGCUGAAUAAACUGCCAUUUAAGUCAAA